GACGAACGCUGGCGGCGUGCUUAACACAUGCAAGUCGAACGGAAAGGCCCUGCUUUUGUGGGGUGCUCGAGUGGCGAACGGGUGAGUAACACGUGAGUAACCUGCCCUUGACUUUGGGAUAACUUCAGGAAACUGGGGCUAAUACCGGAUAGGAGCUCCUGCUGCAUGGUGGGGGUUGGACAGUUUCGGCGGUUGGGGAUGGACUCGCGGCUUAUCAGCUUGUUGGUGGGGUAGUGGCUUACCAAGGCUUUGACGGGUAGCCGGCCUGAGAGGGUGACCGGCCACAUUGGGACUGAGAUACGGCCCAGACUCCUACGGGAGGCAGCAGUGGGGAAUAUUGCACAAUGGGCGGAAGCCUGAUGCAGCAACGCCGCGUGCAGGAUGACGGCCUUCGGGUUGUAAACCGCUUUCGCCUGUGACGAAGCGUGAGUGACGGUAAUGGGUAAAGAAGCACCGGCUAACUACGUG
rnacentral:rRNA from 1 species